UGUCGUCAAUAAGUGAAAACCGAAAGCGGAAAAGUAAAAAAGUUACCGAAAAGCAAAAAGAGUGUUAAAGUAAAGCUUCAAAAUUAAAAAAUAGAAAAAAAUUAAAUGAAAAUAAAAAGGCAUUAAUUGGUGGAAAGAAAACGAGUGCAAACAAAAAAGCGGGCCGAAAUGUUCUAAAUCAGCCAGCCAGUCAGCAUUAUCAUUAGCAGAUCAGAGUCAGCCAGUGUGUUCUCUACUUAAGAAAGAAAGGAAAUAAACCAACACGACCAGCAAGCAAGCAAGCUAGCUGCUAAUACACAAAAGAGAUCUUCUCCCCAUUUCCACAAUUGUCUCGAAGUUUAUCUGAAACCAAACAAAAAAAAA
rnacentral:sRNA from 1 species